rnacentral:rRNA from 1 species
GACGAACGCUGGCGGCGUGCUUAACACAUGCAAGUCGAACGGAAAGGCCCUGCUUUUGUGGGGUGCUCGAGUGGCGAACGGGUGAGUAACACGUGAGUAACCUGCCCUUGACUUUGGGAUAACUUCAGGAAACUGGGGCUAAUACCGGAUAGGAGCUCCUGCUGCAUGGUGGGGGUUGGAAAGUUUCGGCGGUUGGGGAUGGACUCGCGGCUUAUCAGCUUGUUGGUGGGGUAGUGGCUUACCAAGGCUUUGACGGGUAGCCGGCCUGAGAGGGUGACCGGCCCCAAUGGGACUGGGGAAAGGCCCAGACUCCUACGGGAGGCAGCAGUGGGGAAUAUUGCACAAUGGGCGGAAGCCUGAUGCAGCAACGCCGCGUGCGGGAUGACGGCCUUCGGGUUGUAAACCGCUUUCGCCUGUGACGAAGCGUGAGUGACGGUAAUGGGUAAAGAAGCACCGGCUAACUACGUG